AUCAGAAUUAGUUUGCAUCCUGAGAACACGUGAUUGAUGUAGUAUUUGUUUCAAUAGGCUAGAAAUUUAUCAUUUAAAUCAACACAAGGUUAUGUUAGCCAGUCAUUCAUUACACAUGUUUUUCUUUAGUUUGAGACAAGGUUAUGUUAGCCAGUCAUUCAUUACAUGUGUUUUUCUUUAGUUUGAGACAAGGUUAUGUUAGCCAGUCAUUCAUUACAUGUGUUUUUCUUUAGUUUGACACAAGGUUAUGUUAGCCAGUCAUUCAUUACACAUGUUUUUCUUUAGUUUGACACAAGGUUAUGUUAGCCAGUCAUUCAUUACACAUGUUUUUCUUUAGUUUGAGACAAGGUUAUGUUAGCCAGUCAUUCAUUACACAUGUUUUUCUUUAGUUUGAGACAAGGUUAUGUUAGCCAGUCAUUCAUUACAUAUGUUUUUCUUUAGUUUGAGACAAGGUUAUGUUAGCCAGUCAUUCAUUACAUGUGUUUUUCUUUAGUUUGAGACAAGGUUAUGUUAGCCAGUCAUUCAUUACAUAUGUUUUUCUUUAGUUUGAGACAAGGUUAUGUUAGCCAGUCAUUCAUUACAUAUGUUUUUCUUUAGUUUGAGACAAGGUUAUGUUAGCCAGUCAUUCAUUACACAUGUUUUUCUUUAGUUUGAGACAAGGUUAUGUUAGCCAGUCAUUCAUUACACAUGUUUUUCUUUAGUUUGAGACAAGGUUAUGUUAGCCAGUCAUUCAUUACAUGUGUUUUUCUUUAGUUUGAGACAAGGUUAUGUUAGCCAGUCAUUCAUUACAUGUUUUUCUUUAGUUUGAGACAAGGUUAUGUUAGCCAGUCAUUCAUUACACAUGUUUUUCUUUAGUUUGAGACAAGGUUAUGUUAGCCAGUCAUUCAUUACAUUCAUUUGAGUAGCUUCCAUAACCUUCUCUCGAUGGACAGAAGUGACAAAACAAAUGACUAACAUAACCUGGUCUCAGUGUUACAAAGGGCAGAGCAAGUUAAUAGUGACAGAAAUAAACAUUACAAAAGAUUUAGCAACCGAAGGGACAGGAGUACGCAUUGCUACAGAUGACACAGUAACCCAAGUGUGAUAGGGAUUGUAAUGUUACGGAAGAUAUGGUGACGUAAGUGACGAGGACCCAGCGUUACAGACAGCGUAGUGACUUAAGCAUGACAGGGAUUGUAGAAAGAUUGUGGAAUGAUUGUAUAAAAAAAGAUACAGUAACUCAGCAGUGACACAGAUACGUAAUGUUACUGAGGACAUGGUAACUUACGUAUGAUGAGGAUCGUAAUGUUGCAGAUGAACUAACAAUAAUUUAAGUGUCAGAAUUCAUCAUGUUACAAAUGGCAUAUUAAUUUUAGUGGCAUGGAUCAGAAUGUUACAAAAUAUAUACGUAUAUUAAGUGGCACGGAUCGUAAUGUUACAAGAUACAUGGUACCCACACCGAUAUGUAUACGUAAUGUUAAAUGACAUAGUAACUUAAAUUAAAUGGAUAUAUUACGCUAAAAAAGCUUAGUAACCAAAGUGACAUGUAUACGUAAUGUUACAAAUGGCAUAGUAACAAAUAAAAUGGAUACGUAAUG